rnacentral:rRNA from 1 species
CCUACGGGGGGCAGCAGUGAGGAAUAUUGGUCAAUGGGCGCGAGCCUGAACCAGCCAAGUAGCGUGAAGGAUGACUGCCCUAUGGGUUGUAAACUUCUUUUAUAUGGGAAUAAAGUGUUCCACGUGUGGGAUUUUGUAUGUACCGUAUGAAUAAGGAUCGGCUAACUCCGUGCCAGCAGCCGCGGUAAUACGUAGGUGCCAAGCGUUGUCCGGAUUUAUUGGGUUUAAAGGGCGUGUAGCCGGGAAGUCAAGUCAGAUGUGAAAUUCGGAGGCUCAACCUCCGAAUUGCAUUUGAUACUGGUGUUCUUGAGUACGGGUGAGGCAGACGGAAUUCGUGGUGUAGCGGUGAAAUGCGUAGAUAUAACGAAGAACACCAGUGGCGAAGGCGGCCUGCUGGACAGCAACUGACGGUGAGGCGCGAAAGCGUGGGGAGCAAACAGGAUUAGAUACCCGAGUAGUC